UGCUCCGUCGUCUAGCGGCAGGACGCCUGGUUCUGGUUCAGGUAACCGAGGUUCGAAUCCUUGCGGAGCAG
rnacentral:tRNA from 1 species